AUUGAACGCUGGCGGCAUGCCUUACACAUGCAAGUCGAACGGCAGCACGGGGCAACCUGGUGGCGAGUGGCGAACGGGUGAGUAAUAUAUCGGAACGUACCCUAGAGUGGGGGAUAACGUAGCGAAAGUUACGCUAAUACCGCAUACGAUCUACGGAUGAAAGCAGGGGACCGCAAGGCCUUGCGCUCAUGGAGCGGCCGAUAUCUGAUUAGCUAGUUGGUAGGGUAAAAGCCUACCAAGGCAUCGAUCAGUAGCUGGUCUGAGAGGACGACCAGCCACACUGGGACUGAGACACGGCCCAGACUC
rnacentral:rRNA from 1 species